rnacentral:pre_miRNA from 1 species
UUUGUACUCCCUCCGUCCGAAAAUACUUGUCAUUGAAAUGAAUGUAUCUAGAUGUAUUUUAAUUCUAGACACAUCCAUUUUGAUGACAAGUAAUUCCGGACAAAGGGAGUACUUG